rnacentral:lncRNA from 1 species
AGGACUUCUGCUUUCUUGGGGACAAAGCAAGCACAAGGGAACUUGUGGCCGAGGAAUCUCCACCGCGGCAAGACCUGUAAGGAUCCAGCUUUGCAGCUGAAGGGUGGGUAUCUCUGCCUCUUGCAACCCUGGCACUGGCAUAUUGAUGCAUGUACCUACCUCCUGGGCUCUGUAUGGCCGAUGGUUGCUGCCACCCAAGCUGCUGGGAAGAUGGCCCAGAGCGUGACCAGAGCAUGUGGCAGUAUGAACUACCUUUCUCGUCACGUGACCAAAAUAUAUGAUAAAACAACUUGAAGCGGAGCCCCCUGACUGUAGGCCACUCUCUUCCCAGGCCACGGGAAACGGAGAAAUGCUGUGGAGGUCCUGGUGAGAAGCAAAACUGAAGGUCUCUGUUCAAGAGAAGUGACAAUAUUCAAGUCAGGCCAGAAGCUCCGAGUCUCUUCAGAGGACAGGAACUCCCCCAACACAGGCCUGCCCCUUCAGAAUCUAAAGAGCCCUGCAGAUGUCUUUACCAGCAGCCUGGCCCUCAGCUCAUCCUUCCCUGGGUCAAAGUGUAACUCGAUUUAGAGGUCAGAGUGGCCCGCAGCAGUAUGGAAGGAGAGAGAGAGGGGGAGAGGGGAGGGGCUCUGGGGACAGUCAAGUUAUCAUCAGUCAGCUACUGGAGAUAAAGCAGUCAUUAGCCAGCAGCCAGAUGCUGACUGUGAGACUCUACAGCACUGCUCUGGUCCCCAUGGCCUGGGGAGAGAGUGGCCUACAGUCAGGGAGUCACUUGGACUGUCAGUGAACUGUCUGCGUUCUUCACUCAACUGUACCGCAGGGUGAAGCCGAGAACUGGGCAACACUGGAAGUUUAGGAGUGGCCCUAGGAUCACCCUGGGAUUGAGUCCCUCAGAACAGAGCAACAGGGGUCUGUCACUGGAGAGGGCAGGAGAUGGGUUGGCAAGGAGACAAGGGAACAGGAAGCUAGAGCCAAACUUCUCGCCUCACGCCUGAACUUCCUGAGGUGGCUUAUUUGCAUGACGCCCAGACAGAUGGGCCACUGGUCACCUGCAUUCCAGAUCAUGCAAAACUCCAACAGUCGCUGUGGCCAGUCAGGAGCGGUCUCCACACUGCUCCCCCUGAGCUAACCCCUAGGCUUGGUCUGUGACAUGCUACAUGUGUGCCCGUAGAUACAUAGAAGGGGUCAGACAGGAACCUUCUCCCUGAGCUCGGUCAGCAGUUAAAAGGUAACAGCCACAAGCACAGGUCACUCAGGUCCCUGGAGGGCUUUGGGUAGAGUUCUGCUUACGACCUGGGUGGGAUGCAGCCCUAGUGGCUGGUGGGGAGAUGGGGCACAGACCCCAAAGAGGUGCCUGAGUCACAUGGACCCAGCAAGAGAGCACACGGCACAACUGCACAGACUCACUCGAUGUUCUACAUCAAAGGACCUUCAGUUUCUUAAAGGGAAAAUGAGGCUUGGCCCUGACUGCAGGCCUCGGGAGGUGGUGCGCGACCUAAGCCUGAAGCAACCGCCUCUGCUCAAUGCUCUUUGUCUAUCCAGAAUAAAUAAAUAAAUCUUAUUGCUAGUU